CCAAUGUAUUGACAUCCAUAUGUGUUCAGGGUAACUCCUGACAACAUGUGGCUCUGUCAGAUGUGGCAUAUGGGAGCUGAAUGCUUUAUUGCUUGAGGUGUAUUCCCUUUCCACAACAUUGGAGAGUAACCAUGUCCCCUGUCCCUCUUGGAUGGGUGAGGGCAGAAUCUUGUAUAUUCCAUAACCUUCCAAUAGUCAUUAUGUGACUAUGAUUGGGGAGAUAAACCAUGCAAGAUACAAAC